rnacentral:sRNA from 1 species
CCUCUGCUCUGUAGUCCAGAUUCUUAGCAAUGUGAUGCAUUCGUUUGUUUUUGUUUUCAGCCUUCAGACAAGGAGAUGUUCAGCCGUUCAGUUACUAGCCUGGCAACAGACGCUCCUGCCAGCAGUGAGCAGAAUGGGGCACUCACCAAUGGGGACAUUCUUUCAGAGGACAGUACUCUGACCUGCAUGCAGCAUUACGAGGAAGUCCAGACAUCGGCUUCGGAUCUGCUGGAUUCCCAGGACAGCACAGGGAAGCCAAAAUGUCAUCAGAGUCGGGAGCUGCCCAGAAUCCCUCCCGAGAGUGCAG